rnacentral:rRNA from 1 species
ACAUGCCUACAAUAUAGAAUUAAUGCAUCGGAUGCCAUUCGAACUCCGUAGUUAAGUGCGCUCGAGCUAGAGUAGUACUAGGAUAGGUGCCUUCUCAGGAAGUCCUAGCAUUUUACAUGCC